AUUGAACGCUGGCGGUAUGCUUAACACAUGCAAGUCGAACGGUAACAGGCCUUCGGGCGCUGACGAGUGGCGGACGGUGAGUAACGCGUAGGAAUCUGCCUCAUAGUGGGGACAACGUGGGGAAACUCACGCUAAUACCGCAUACGCCCUACGGGGAAAGCGGGGAUCUUCGGACCUCGCGCUAUGAGAUGAGCCUGCGUUAGAUUAGCUAGUUGGUAGGGUAAAGGCCUACCAGGGCGACGAUCUAUAGCUGGUCUGAGAGGACGAUCAGCCACACUGGGACUGAGACACGGCCCAGACUCCUACGGGAGGCAGCAGUGGGGAAUAUUGGACAAUGGGCGCAAGCCUGAUCCAGCAAUACCGCGUGUGUGAAGAAGGCCUUAGGGUUGUAAAGCACUUUCAAUUGGGAGGAAAACCUGCCGGUCAACACCCGGUAGCUUGACAUUACCUUUAGAAGAAGCACCGGCUAACUCCGUGCCAGCAGCCGCGGUAAU
rnacentral:rRNA from 1 species